UUGUUUUAGCCCAACUUGUACUGAAAGCAAUAUCUCUUCUUGAAGCUGCUGGUACCCAAAUKUAUGGUGUAGUUUCUGAUGGAGCCCUAUGAAAUCCCCAAUUGAUUUAUCAAAUUAUUUAUUGGAAACUUGUGGUUUUAAAUAUGUGUUAACAAGCAAGAUGAACCAAGAUCGUUUGGAGCAAUUUUUCGGUACAAUACGCCAAUCGAUUGGUCCAAAUGAUCAGCCUACAUGUCCAUCCUUAAAGUAGCAGCCAAAGAAUGUGUUUUGUAUUAUAUAUGUGGCUAUGUCAGCAAACAAAUUCAAAAACAUACAAUGUUGAAUGUAAUGUUUGUCUCUCUACUUUUAAAGGUACAGAUGAGGAUGUUCAACUACCUGAAGCAGCACUUACAAAUUUAAAAUCAAAAGGUUAUCUUUAAUAACCUAACAAACAUUUUUUCAGACUAAUCACG